UGGAAUCCAAUGGCUUUUGUAUAACUUUCAAACUAAUAAGUAAUCACAUGCAUGUUUCGACUUUGAAUACAAGUGAUAUUUUUUAAGGCAGCAAAGUCACUCAACGUAUGAAAAUAACCUACCAUAGUCAUUUCAAACUUUUUUGGGACAAUAAAGUCACUAACUAUUAUUCCAAAGACCAGAUUUUUUGCCUUUUGUUUUCAUCAUUAUCUUGUGGGUAUAAGAAUUUGCAGGAUUAAUGAGUUCUUGGGUACAUGACUUGGACAUUACUGCUUAACAAUUUGUCUAAAAACCUAUCAACUUUUCCUUCGACUUCAUGUGGGGAUUUACAUACGACCACUCACUCCAUUUCAAUUCAUUUGUCGCAUAAUGAUUUGACACAGAGUUUAAGAAAGUAAAGAAGACUUUUGGAUCAUAUGGUCCUACAUUAAAGGUAUGUAUCUCUAAUCAAUUUUACUUAUUUUUUGUCAUUUAUCUUUUGUGUAGGUUCUACUGUUUGCCAUUUUCUAAAAUACAGAAUUGUUAAUUAAACUGUUUUCUGUCAAUCUAGUGAUACUUUCUGCAAGUACACAGAUGUCUUUUACAACCCUGAAAUCCCUGAGGGCCGGUUAGCACAUGGUUUGAAGCUUGGUUGAUUAUAUGCUCACCCUUCUCUACUAAAAGGCAUUUGUACUGGGUUCCAACUCGUGACAUAUGUGUAAAUCACACAUCACGCAGCUCCUACCUCUGAACCAAAGGCCUGCAAGUAUCUGAAAGUUUUCUAUUUUCAUAGUAAUUAACUAGGUAUACAGGUGCUCAGGAAAUUAAAAGACCCGAAGAAGAUUCGAGAGUGCUGAACUCAGAUAGUGCUUGUUGCUGCAUAGAAUGAGCUUUUAGUUAAAGUUGAUUUUUAUUUGCAUCUAGGAGAAAAUAUCAAAUGAAGAGUACAACAUUUGAGGAUUAAGUGAUACACAUUUUUUGUAAGAAACAAUACUUUUGAAUAAUUUGGGAUAUGCUAAAAUGGAUUAACUUUACAAGAGGUAAGUGAGCAAUAAAAACAAUGCAGACCAAAGAGUUUAGCAGAAUAACAAUUUAGAAGAAGCUUACAUGGAAAGCUUGGUCCGACAAGCAGAAUAGAGAAACGUUCAACCUAAUGAACGGAUGCCCCUCAAACUGGUCCUUUGCAACGGAUACUGCUAUGAACGCAUCCCUGUUAGUAGUACAACAUUCUCAUGAGAAGUUGUUCUUGAGCAUACAAUUUGCAUUUUGUACCGCAGAAACUUCCUACCUGAAUCCAUAGAAACAAUCUAAACGUAGCAUCAUCAGUGAGAAUUAUUUGAUACCUUUCAUUGGCUUCACCAUAGCACCUGAAUAGAUAUGACAAAUACUGAAAUUCUUCUUGUUUCGUACAGGUUGGGAAUGGGGAGGUCAGACAUUAAUCAUCAUCAUAUACAUAUAUGUUAAGUGGCAUCUGAGACCAAGAAUAGAAAUAUGUGUCUCAAACUUAUUCACUUCUAUCUUUGAAUUUAGAAUCAAAAUACUCCUUGUCUUUUAACAUGAAGCACUAACAGUCCUCCGUGUUUCAAGAAUUGGUACACUUUUAAUACUUUCUCAAACAACUAUCUAAUUUUUAACGGACUUACAAGCUAUCCACAGUGAGAAAAUUUUCCCUUCAAAUCUCAGUCUUUGUUUCCCCUGUCCCUCCACUUCCAUAUCUAACCAGGAUUCUUAUUUGUCUCUUAUUCAAAUCAAACCCAAUAAUCAAAAUUCUAUUUAGAAUUUCACUUAAAACUUAAUCGAUUAUCGAAAUCAAUUAUUUUGUUAAGACCCAAUAAUGGCAGAGAAUCAACUCUUACUUGUGGUGAGAAUUUUUUUUGUUGCUUCAUCAUUAUAUUUAUUUUUGAGAACUUAUGUGUUUUUUACAUAUGGAACAAAAGCUUGGUUCAUUGUUGGAAGAUCAACAAAAAGAACUCGAAAAUCGAAUUCAUAAACUAUUUUAACCCAUAUUGAGAAAACGAAACCAAAAUCAGUUUGUUAUUUCCAUUUAAACCAAACUGUGUCCACCUCUGAACUUGGUGCACUACUUAUGUGAAGACAAGCCAAUAUUGUGUGGCCUGAGACUCUCUCUUUAGUUCGUCAUAUAUUAUCUCUAACACUAUUUUAGAGAGUUAUUGUUUCAUCAUUUAAUUAUCUUAAACUAACAUAAAGUAUAUGUAUUAUGCUUCCAGGUUAGAUGAGGACAUGUUAAAGUUGGACAAGAAAAAAUGUAAUUAGGAGAAUUAGGAGAAAGAGGAAUGAAUCUUUAUUGGAAAAUCACAACCAACCCAACAAAGUGGAGUAACAUUUUAAAGAUCAGUUUUUCUUUUGGUAAAAUAAAAAGAGUAGAUCACCUUGUUCUUUUCAAGUUUAAACUAUAUUUUGCUAUUGUUUUUCAGUUUGUUUUUUUCUUGUGUAGUUUUUGGUGCUACUGCUGUUUUUGGUUGCAAUUUUAGUGUGUUUUUAGCGAAAAUCAGGUGCUGCAGUUUUUUGUGCUUUUCUGGCGCCGUUUUGGUGCUUUCUACUGCUGUUUUGGUGCAAUUUUAAUUCUGAUUUUUUAAUUCA
rnacentral:lncRNA from 1 species